UACGAGGGGGCAAGCGUUGUUCGGAAUUAUUGGGCGUAAAGGGUGCGUAGGCGGUUUGGUAAGUCUUAUGUGAAAUCUAACAGGCUCAACUUGUAGUCUGCAUGAGAAACUGCCGGGCUUGAGUAUGGGAGAGGUGAGUGGAAUUCCUGGUGUAGCGGUGAAAUGCGUAGAUAUCAGGAGGAACACCUGUGGCGAAAGCGGCUCACUGGACCAUAACUGACGCUGAUGCACGAAAGUUAGGGGAGCAAACAGG
rnacentral:rRNA from 1 species